rnacentral:rRNA from 1 species
UCCCGGCGGUCCAAGUCGCAGCCAACUUUAUUGGGUCUAAAACAUCCGUAGCUUGUUAUGAAAGUCUUUUGUGAAACUCUGUCUCUUAAGGGCAGAAAUGGCAAUAGAUACUACAUGACUAGAGACCGGUGGACGUAAGGAGUACAUUUGAGGUAGUGGUAAAAUACGUUAAUCUUAAAUGGACUAACAACAGCGAAGGCACCUUACGAUGACGGUUCUGACAGUGAGGGAUGAAGGCUAGGGGC